rnacentral:lncRNA from 1 species
UCUUCUCGCUUCUUAAAAGGAUGCUGUCAAGGAAAAAGAGAUAAGACUUUCUCGUUGAGAGGAAAGCUCUAUAUCACUGAAGCUCUGAGUAGUUUGUCAGACCAAUCAUCAGUGACUUUAAAAGUGCUCACCAACCUUUGUGGUGCAAGACCUGUAAAGUGUGUACAGAUUGAAGCCUUUCCAGAAUAUUAAAUGCUUUCUCUUGCUUGGUAAGUUGUUUUAUUGUGUGAUUUG